GAUGAACGCUGGCGGCGUGCUUAACACAUGCAAGUCGAACGAAGCAUUUGCGACAGAUUUUUUCGGAAUAAAGUUGCUUAUGACUGAGUGGCGGACGGGUGAGUAACGCGUGGGUAACCUGCCUUGUACUGGGGGAUAGCAGCUGGAAACGGCUGGUAAUACCGCAUAAGCGCACAAUGUUGCAUGACAUGGUGUGAAAAACUCCGGUGGUAUAAGAUGGACCCGCGUCUGAUUAGCUAGUUGGUGAGAUAACAGCCCACCAAGGCGACGAUCAGUAGCCGACCUGAGAGGGUGACCGGCCACAUUGGGACUGAGACACGGCCCAGACUCCUACGGGAGGCAGCAGUGGGGAAUAUUGCACAAUGGAGGAAACUCUGAUGCAGCGACGCCGCGUGAGUGAAGAAGUAAUUCGUUAUGUAAAGCUCUAUCAGCAGGGAAGAUAGUGACGGUACCUGACUAAGAAGCUCCGGCUAAAUACGUG
rnacentral:rRNA from 1 species